rnacentral:rRNA from 1 species
AUACGGAGGGGGCGAGCGUUGUUCGGAAUUACUGGGCGUAAAGGGCGCGUAGGCGGACGAUCAAGUCAGGGGUGAAAGUCCUGGGCUCAACCUGGGGACUGCCUUUGAAACUGAUUGUCUUGAGACCGGGAGAGGAUGGCGGAAUUCCCAGUGUAGAGGUGAAAUUCGUAGAUAUUGGGAAGAACACCGGUGGCGAAGGCGGCCAUCUGGACCGGAUCUGACGCUGAGGCGCGAAAGCGUGGGGAGCAAACAGGAUUAGAUACCCUGGUAGUCC